ACGGUCCUAAGGUAGCGAAAUUCCUUGUCGGGUAAGUUCCGACCUGCACGAAUGGCAUAACGAUGGCCACACUGUCUCCUCCCGAGACUCAGUGAAGUUGAAAUGUUUGUGAUGAUGCAAUCUACCCGCGGCUAGACGGAAAGACCCCAUGAACCUUUACUGCAGCUUUGCAUUGAACUGUGAACCGAUUUGUGUAGGAUAGGUGGGAGGCAGAGAAGAGGCCACGCCAGUGGUCUUGGAGCCGACCUUGAAAUACCACCCUGAUUUGUUUGCGGUUCUAACCACGGACAGUGAUCCUGUCUUGGGACCGUGCAUGGUAGGCAGUUUGACUGGGGCGGUCUCCUCCUAAAGGGUAACGGAGGAGUACGAAGGUACGCUAGGUACGGUCGGAAAUCGUGCUGAUAGUGCAAUGGCAAAAGCGUGCUUGACUGCGAGAGCAACAACUCGAGCAGAUGCGAAAGCAGGUCAUAGUGAUCCGGUGGCUCUGAAUGGAAGGGCCAUCGCUCAACGGAUAAAAGGUACUCCGGGGAUAACAGGCUGAUACCGCCCAAGAGUUCAUAUCGACGGCGGUGUUUGGCACCUCGAUGUCGGCUCAUCGCAUCCUGGGGCUGUAGUCGGUCCCAAGGGUAUGGCUGUUCGCCAUUUAAAGAGGUACGUGAGCUGGGUUUAAAACGUCGUGAGACAGUUUGGUCCCUAUCUGCCGUGGGCGUUGGAAGAUUGACGGGGGCUGCUCCUAGUACGAGAGGACCGGAGUGGACGCACCUCUGGUGUACCGGUUGUCACGCCAGUGGCAUUGCCGGGUAGCUAAGUGCGGAAGAGAUAACCGCUGAAAGCAUCUAAGCGGGAAACUUGCCUGAAGAUGAGUCUUCCCGGAGGUAAAACCUCCCUCAAGAGUCGUCCGAGACCAGGACGUCGAUAGGUCAGGUGUGUAAGCGCUGUGAGGCGUUGAGCUAACUGAUACUAAUUGCUCGUGAGGCUUGAUCCU
rnacentral:rRNA from 1 species